rnacentral:piRNA from 1 species
UGCAAAACUAUUCUGUAAUUCUUGUUUUA